rnacentral:rRNA from 1 species
AUUGAACGCUGGCGGCAGGCCUAACACAUGCAAGUCGAGCGGAUGACGGGAGCUUGCUCCUUGAUUCAGCGGCGGACGGGUGAGUAAUGCCUAGGAAUCUGCCUGGUAGUGGGGGACAACGUUUCGAAAGGAACGCUAAUACCGCAUACGUCCUACGGGAGAAAGCAGGGGACCUUCGGGCCUUGCGCUAUCAGAUGAGCCUAGGUGGGAUUAGCUUGUUGGUGAGGUAAUGGCUCACCAAGGCGACGAUCCGUAACUGGUCUGAGAGGAUGGUCCGUCAAACUGGAACUGAGACACGGUACAGACUCUUACGGGAGGCAGCAGUGGGGAAUAUUGGACAAUGGGCGAAAGCCUGAUCCAGCCAUGCCGCGUGUGUGAAGAAGGUCUUCGGAUUGUAAAGCACUUUAAGUUGGGAGGAAGGGUUGUAGACUAAUACUCUGCAAUUUUGACGUUACCGACAGAAUAAGCACCGGCUAACUCUGUGCCAGCCGCCGCCGUAAGAC